UUAUGGGUAGGGCUUCACACGUCAUACAAUGGUCGGUACAGAGGGUUGCCAAGCCGCGAGGCGGAGCCAAUCCCACAAAGCCGAUCGUAGUCCGGAUUGUUCUCUGCAACUACCGAGAGCAUGAAGUCGGAAUCGCUAGUAAUCGCAGGUCAGCAUACUGCGGUGAAUACGUUCCCGGGUCUU
rnacentral:rRNA from 1 species